AUCGAUGAAGAACGCCGCGAAAGUGCGAAACGUAAUGUGAAUUGCAGAAUUCAGUGAAUCAUCGAAUCUUUGAACGCAUCUUGCGCUCCUUGGUAUUCCGAGGAGCAUGCCUGUUUGAGUGUCGUGAACUCUCUCGAUCCUAAUCCUUCUGUAAUGGAGGGGUCUGCGAUCGGAUUUGGAUGCUGCGGGCCUCUCGUGGGUCCGCUCGUCUUGAAAUGUAUCAGCUGGUUCCGCCGCAACGAGCGUGGUUUCACUAUGGUGUGAUAAGUAAUGCUUUGACGCCGUCCGUGACUCUCGUCUCGAUGUGUGAGGACCGCUUCUAAUCGUCCUCGGACAACACACACGUCAUCUGACCUCAAAUCAGGUAGGACUACCCGCUGAACUUAAGCAUAUCAAUAAGCGGAGGAAAAGAAACUAACAAGGAUUCCCCUAGUAACGGCGAGUGAAGCGGGAAGAGCUCAAAUUUGUAAUCUGGCGGUCUCAGGCCGUCCGAGUUGUAGUCUGGAGAAGUGUUUUCCGCGUCGGACCGUGUACAAGUCCCUUGGAACAGGGCGUCAUAGAGGGUGAGAAUCCCGUCUUUGACACGGACUGCCGAUGCUUUGUGAUGCGCUCUCGAAGAGUCGAGUUGUUUGGGAAUGCAGCUCAAAACGGGUGGUAAAUUCCAUCUAAAGCUAAAUAUUGGCGAAAGACCGAUAGCGAACAAGUACCGUGAGGGAAAGAUGAAAAGCACUUUGGAAAGAGAGUUAAACAGUACGUGAAAUUGUUGAAAGGGAAACGAUUGAAGUCAGUCGCGUCUCCCGGGACUCAGCCUUGCUUCUGCUCGGUGCAUUUCCUGGGGUGACGGGCCAGCAUCAAUUUCGACCGUCGGAGAAAGGCUGGGGGAAUGUGGCACCUUCGGGUGUGUUAUAGCCCUCGGUCGUAUGCGACGGUUGGGAUUGAGGAUCGCAGCACGCCUUCAUGGCCGGGGUUCGCCCACGUAACGUGCUUAGGAUGCUGGCGUAAUGGCUUYAAACGACCCGUCUUGAAACACGG
rnacentral:rRNA from 1 species